rnacentral:tRNA from 1 species
GAGGUUAUAGCCCAGGGGUAGGGCAUGUGCUUAGCAUGCACAAGGUCCUGGGUUCAACCCCCAGAACCUCU